rnacentral:rRNA from 1 species
UUACCAGACUCCUACGGGAGGCAGCAGUGGGGAAUAUUGCACAAUGGGGGAAACCCUGAUGCAGCGACGCCGCGUGAGUGAAGAAGUAUUUCGGUAUGUAAAUCUCUAUCAGCAGGGAGGAAAAUGACGGUACCUGACUAAGAAGCCCCGGCUAACUACGUGCCAGCAGCCGCGGUAAUACGUAGGGGGCAAGCGUUAUCCGGAUUUACUGGGUGUAAAGGGAGCGUAGACGGCAUGGCAAGUCAGAUGUGAAAGCCCGGGGCUCAACCCCGGGACUGCUCUUGGAACUGCGUGGCUAGAGUGCAGGAGGGGCAGGCGGAAUUCCUGGUGUAGCGGUGAAAUGCGUAGAUAUCAGGAGGAACACCGGUGGCGAAGGCGGCCUGCUGGACUGCAACUGACGUUGAGGCCCGAAAGCGUGGGGAGCAAACAGGAUUAGAUACCCGCGUACA